AAAUAAUUAAAAAGAAAAUAAUUAAAAAGAAAAUAAUUGAUAACAAUCUUACCGGUUAAUAAAAAAUGGAGGGGGUUAAUAAAAAUGGAUAGUAAGGUUGAGCAAAAAUGGAGCGCAAAUAAACAAAUCGGUUCUUCAUCUCGAUGACCGAGGGCCUCAACAGAUUUGUCGACCUACAAAAUCGCGGAGAUAAUUAAAUAAACUCUAAAACAGAGGCAGGAAAGCUACCAAAAUAAAGAAAAAGAAUAAAAGGAAAACUAGAUUAACAUUGACCGUUACCAACACAGAAUCAGAAGCUCCCCCAAUCACACCACUUCAUCCGAGGGGGGGACACAAGUAAUGUUGGGGACAAAGAAACAUGGAGAUUUAUAUUCCCAGGCUUUGGAAAAAAAUGCAAUUAAAUAUUAGCUAAUCACAUAUAAUACUUAGCUGCUAAACAAAUCAGAAUGGAGGGAGCUGAAAAGUAAUCCCUUCACCAACUAACAUGACAAUAUUAUCCACCCUCACAUCUUCCUCAUCGUCAGACCAGGUUAAAUCUUCUUUCGGGUUCAUCUCCACGUCAAGAAAAAUGAUAGGCUCCACAUACGUCUACAAAAAAAAACAGAUCAUAGAGGAAGAUUAAUGACGUUAAUAAAAGAAAAAUUCCUUCUAAUGUCCUUUUCAUAUUACCCCUUUUCAAUUCUAUCAUUUUCUAUUUACCAUUUUCAUUUAUACCCUAUUUAAAUUUUUAAUGAUCAUUUUACCCCUCUUUGUAAAUUGAUUUAGGUUAACAAAAUGAAAAAUUAAUAUUUUCGCCUAAAAUAUUCCAAAAUAAAAUUUCCCGCCAAAAAUUUUCGAAAAAACAAAUUCCCGCCAAAAUUUUCCCGCCAAAAAUUUUAGA
rnacentral:sRNA from 1 species